UACGUAGGUGGCAAGCGUUGUCCGGAUUUACUGGGCGUAAAGAGCGCGCAGGCGGUCGUACAAGUCGCGUGUGAAAGCCCCCGGCUCAACUGGGGAGGGUCACGCGAUACUGUUCGACUCGAAGGCAGGAGAGGGAGGCAGAAUUCCCGGUGUAGUGGUGAAAUGCGUAGAUAUCGGGAGGAAUACCAGUGGCGAAGGCGGCUUCCUGGCCUGUUCUUGACGCUGAGGCGCGAAAGCUAGGGUAGCAAACGGG
rnacentral:rRNA from 1 species